UACGGGGGCGCAGCAGUGAAAUUUUUGGACAAUGGGGAAACCCUGAUCCAGCCAUCCGCGUGUGCGAUGAGGGCCUUCAGGUUGUAAAGCACUUUUGGCGGGAAAGAGCAGCGCAGGAUAAUACCCGUGCAACUGACGGUACCUGCAGAAUAAGCACCGGCUAACUACGUGCCUGCAGCCGCGGUAAUACGUAGGGUGCAAAGCGUUAAUCGGAAUUACUGGGCGUAAAGCGUGCGCAGGCGGUUCGGAAAGAAAAGAUGUGAAAUCCCAGGCUUAACUUUGGAACUGCAUUUUAACUACCAGCGAGCUAGAGUGUGUCAGAGGAGGUGGAAUUCCCGCGUGUAGCAGUGAAUGCGUAGAUAUGCGGAGGAACGCAAAUGCUUGAAGAGCGGCUUCUCCUGGGAUAACACUGACGCUCAUGCACAGCGUGGGAGCAAACAGGAUUAGAUACCCCUGCAGU
rnacentral:misc_RNA from 1 species